AGCGAACGCUGGCGGCAGGCCUAACACAUGCAAGUCGAACGCCCGGGGCAACCCGGGAGUGGCAGACGGGUGAGUAACACGUGGGAACGUACCCUUCGGUUCGGAAUAACCCAGGGAAACUUGGGCUAAUACCGGGUACGUCCGCGAGGAGAAAGAUUCAUCGCCGAAGGAUCGGCCCGCGUCCGAUUAGCUAGUUGGUGGGGUAAUGGCCCACCAAGGCGACGAUCGGUAGCUGGUCUGAGAGGAUGAUCAGCCACACUGGGACUGAGACACGGCCCAGACUCCUACGGGAGGCAGCAGUGGGGAAUAUUAGACAAUGGGCGCAAGCCUGAUCCAGCCAUGCCGCGUGGGUGAUGAAGGCCCUAGGGUUGUAAAGCCCUUUCGGCGGGGAAGAUAAUGACGGUACCCGCAGAAGAAGCCCCGGCUAACUUCGUGCCAGCCGCCGCCGUAA
rnacentral:rRNA from 1 species